AUUAACGCUAGCGGCAGGCAUAAUACAUGCAAGUUGAACGGCAGCACAGGUAGCAAUACUGGGUGGCGAGUGGCGCACGGGUGCGUAACACGUAUGCAACCUACCCUAUACAGGCGAAUAACCUUUAGAAAUGAGGGCUAAUACGCCGUAGUAUUACAGAUGGGCAUCUAUUUGUAAUUAAAGAUUUAUCGGUAUAGGAUGGGCAUGCGUCCCAUUAGUUAGUUGGUAAGGUAACG
rnacentral:rRNA from 1 species